rnacentral:misc_RNA from 1 species
AAGUCGUAACAAGGUCUCCGUUGGUGAACCAGCGGAGGGAUCAUUACAGAGUUGCAAAACUCCCAAACCAUUGUGAACGUUACCAUUAUCGUUGCUUCGGCGGGCGGCGCCCAGCGCUCCCAGGCCCCCUCGCGGGGCGCCCGCCGGAGGUUACCUAACUCUUGACAACUGUAUGGCCUCUCUGAGUCUCUAUACUUAAUAAGUUAAAACUUUCAACAACGGAUCUCUUGGUUCUG